GAACUCAGAAGUGAAACGCCGUAGCGCCGAUGGUAGUGUGGGGUCUCCCCAUGUGAGAGUAGGGAACUGCCAGGC
rnacentral:rRNA from 2 species